AAUUUAACAGAUAAUGUAAAGACUUUGCGUUGUGCAUUUUUAAUAUUAGGGAACUCAAGCAACCAACAAUGUUUUAAAGGUGCCAUAAGCUUCAUGGAAUACUGGAGAGUAGCAUUCAGUAUUUAAUAGCAACCUACCGCACAGGCCCAGCAGCAAAAGAGAUCUUGCUGCAAUAGCACAGUAACCCCUGAAGCAGCAUGCUAACAGAGAAGUGAGGGAGUACAGUGUGCAAUGGUCUAGCAGACACCAGCUGCAGGCAAAGGCAACAGCAGCACAAUCAGUGUUACUACAGUGGAGUGGAUGAGAGGGAAGUCAGGAGAUGAGUUCAGAGAAGUAGACAGGGACUAGAUCACACAGGGCUUUAAAGCCAUUGUAAGUCUGUUUUUUCUUUUCUUUUCUUUUUUCUUUCUUUUUUUUGUGAUUCUGAUAAGAAGCCACCAGAAGGUUUUGAAGGGAAAUGAAAGUUCUGAGUAUGUAUGACAAAAAUCACUGCUAUUUGGAAAAGACUGUAGAGGAGCAAGGGCAGAGGCAGAGACUUCUCAAUCAUGUAGGUAGGAGAGGACUGUGGCUUAGCUUAGAGAGGGAGGGAGAGGUGGGCAGAUCUGGGUAGAGUCAACAGAAUUUGUUGGAUGCUUGGAUGCGGAGUCUGACCUAAAAAGAGAAGUCAAGAGUAAAUUCCUAGAAUUCCGGCCUACCUGAAUGGCAGUAACUGAGGCUGUUUAUUGAGAUAAGGGAG
rnacentral:lncRNA from 1 species